CUGUGGGGAACCAAGAAUAUGCCUUCACAGAGGUUGGAAAGCGCUGAAAGGUGCCGUCUGUAUUCAGGAUGACGGAACAGGGUUCUUUGUCCGACAGGCAUUGCUAUUCCGACCACGAAUAAGAAGCUGUAGCGGCGCCAGAAAGUGGCGCGGGGCAGGCAUAGCUUGGCCGCCUAAGGCAGACAGGCAAGGAAGGACCGGCUGCGACUCGAGAAGGAAGCCCCUAUGUCCCUGACCCGGCGCUCUCUCCCAGGGCUCCUGUUGUUCUGUGGCUGGCUUCCCGGCGAGUCUCUCCUUCCGGGGCCAGGGACUGCGCCGUCAUGGCUGAGGUGAAGGUGAAGGUGCAGCCGCCCGACGCGGUUCCGGUCGAAAUAGAAAAUAGGAUCAUAGAACUAUGUCACCAGUUUCCUCAUGGAAUCACAGACCAAGUAAUUCAGAAUGAAAUGCCUCAUAUAGAAGCCCAACAGCGGGCAGUGGCCAUCAAUAGACUCUUGUCCAUGGGUCAGUUGGAUCUCUUAAGGAGUAAUACAGGCCUUUUAUACAGAAUAAAGGACUCUCAGAAUGCUGGUAAAAUGAAAGGAUCAGAUAACCAGGAAAAACUAGUAUAUCAGAUCAUAGAGGAUGCGGGAAAUAAAGGAAUAUGGAGCAGAGAUAUUCGAUAUAAAAGUAACUUGCCAUUAACAGAAAUCAACAAAAUUCUAAAGAAUUUGGAAAGUAAAAAACUUAUCAAAGCUGUUAAGUCCGUAGCGGCCUCCAAAAAGAAAGUAUAUAUGCUGUAUAACCUGCAGCCAGACCGGUCUGUGACUGGUGGGGCCUGGUACAGUGACCAGGAUUUUGAAUCUGAAUUUGUAGAGGUGCUUAACCAACAGUGCUUUAAAUUCCUACAAUCCAAGGCAGAAACAGCUCGAGAAAGCAAACAGAAUCCAGUGAUUCAGAGAAAUAGUUCAUUUGCCUCAUCACAUGAAGUGUGGAAAUAUAUCUGUGAAUUGGGGAUCAGUAAGGUAGAGUUGUCCAUGGAGGACAUAGAAACCAUCUUGAAUACCCUCAUUUAUGAUGGGAAAGUAGAGAUGACAAUCAUUGCUGCAAAGGAAGGCACAGUUGGCAGUGUAGACGGACACAUGAAACUAUACAGGGCAGUCAGUCCAAUCAUCGCACCCACAGGCUUGGUCCGGUCACCCUGCGGACUCUGCCCGGUCUUUGAUGACUGCCAUGAAGGCGGUGAGAUUUCACCCUCUAAUUGUAUUUACAUGACAGAGUGGCUUGAAUUUUAAUAAAGAGCUGUGAACUUUACUGACAUUUUGCAAAUGAGGAUACUUCAUGAACAAGUAAUUGAAUUCAUAAUGGAACUUCAAAUUUCCUUGAAAACAUACUUCACAAUAAUGGAUACAGACUUGCUGUUGUGAAGGUUUUUUCUCCUUUACUUUAUGAAGACUAAAUUUGUAUUGGUGGAAUAGCCACCAGAAAAUGGGACAGACCAGGCUUGUGGAGAAGCCCACUCUGAAGCACUGGAGGGUCUCAUCCUUUGAUGUCUCAAGAUUUUGGAGGACUCAAAGAAAAGGAAGCCAAAUGUUUACCAAGCACUAUGUGGUUUAUGAUGGCAGGAAUAUAGCAGAGCUGGGAAUGUACACAGACUUGGUACAUGCACUGGGGAGUGGAACAUCCUUUUCUACAUGCUGUUAGUCCCUUUUUAUGCAGUAUUUCUUUCAGGACUAUGCUGCCAUACUCACCUUGAUCCCAAAUGGUGACUGUUUAUAUUUUCAGUGCAGGGUAUAUUUUCAGUGCACAAAUAUUAAUGAUCGUUUUCAUCCUCAAGGGAGUAUUUUCACUCUUCCUCUAUUGUUAAAGGCUUGUUUCAUUCUGUGUCUCAAUUAUAUUCUCCCUAGAAUUUCUCUUAGAUUAUUUAGUGUGCAGUGUUUGUCCCAUCCCACCACCCCACCCCGAGCAGACAUACACCACCACUCCAAAUAUGAGUGUUGGAACCUGAUCUCCAAGGUGGUGGGUUGUUUGUUUAUUUAUUUAUUUAUUUUGGUACCGGGGAUCGAACUUGGGUCCUUGAGCUUACGCAGCAGGUGGCAAAACCACUGAGCUAAAUCCCCGGCCCGAGAUUUUUUUUUUGUGGGGUACUGGGGAUCGAACUCGGGUCCUUGAGCUUGCAAGGCAGGCAGUGUGUUUAUUUUUUGAAACAAGGUCUCGCUAUGUAGCCCAGGCUGGCCUUGAACUCCCAGUGAUCCUCCUGCCUCAGCCUCCUGAGUGCUGGGAUUAUAGGUGUGUGCCACCACCAAGGUGAUGGUAUUGGACAUGGGUCCUUUAGGAGGUGAUGGGUCAUGAGGGUAGAGUCCUCAUGAACUGGACGAGUGCCCUUAUAAAAGAGACCCAAAGCAGGCAUCUUGGUUACAUCUGUAAUCCCAGCUACUCGGGAGGCUGAGGCAGGAAGAUUGUGACUUCAAGGCCAGCCUGGGCAACUUAAGUGUCAUAAUAAAAAGUGCUGGGGAUAUAGCUCAGUGAUAGAGCACCUCUGGGUGCAGUCCCCAGUGUGGAAAUACAGAGAAAAUAGGGAGCCAUCUGUGACCCAGGAAGUGGCCCCCACCAGACACCAGGUCUGCCAGGGCCUUCAUGUUGGACUUCUUGGUCUUCUGAAAUGUGAGAAGUAAAAUUUUACUGUUGAGAGCCACUUGGCUAUGAUACUCUGUUAUAGCAGACAGGAUGGACUAUGACAGUGUCUUGUUUAAAAUUAAAACAAAAAUAGAUCAAUGCCCUCUGUUUGAGGGGUGGAGUGGGGAGCAUUCUCUUACUGUUUUGGAUUUCUUUUUCUUAUUCUGUUCUAAAAUUCAUGGUGUGACAUGUCAAAGAAGAAAGCCAUCGCUGUGCGACAGUCCUUGUUCUAAUAGCACAUUAGGCUGUUUAAUGUACUGUUGCAUGGAAAAUAGCUGUAUGGCUCUUUAGGACCUCAGCUGUUGUUUCUGCAUCCAUCCCACACUCAGGAGGCUGAGACAGGAGGAUCGCCCGGAGUUUGAGGCCACCCUGGACUACAUAGCAAGACCCUGUUUCAAAAAACAAGAAAAGUUUUUGUAUCCAGCCAAAAGUAUGGAACCAACCCAAAAGAAUUCACACUUAGUUCCCACUAGGAGGUGAAUUCUAACACUAGUUUGGAGGUGCUCUGAAUGAACAAACAACAUCAGAAGAGUUAGAGAUAAAAUAUUUUGGGAUCAGUAAAAUAAAAUGGAGCUCACUGGCCCAUUUUUAUCAGAGAAAUUCUUUGUUCAUUUCUCUAGAUGACACUAGUCACAGAGAUCAUUUAAAUAUUGGCUGUAUAUAAGAUACAGAAGGAUCCAGGAACCAGAAACUACAGGGGCUCACAUGGUAAUAGCAAUGUCCUUUGGGGCCUAGCAAAGAGGCACUGGCUUUAUUUAAUAAGAAAAUUUAAUUUGGAGAAGAGUUCUAAGAGGAGAAGGAAAUGAUUUAUGUUUGCAUUGUGUCUUGGUGGCCAGUGAUUGAUUUUUAAAAUAUAAAAUAGUGAAAACAAGAGUAUUAUUGCCUCACUAGAAUAAAGAGACCCUUUGAACUUUUUUCCAUAGUAUAUUUUUUAUUCUGAACAUCAACUAAAGGAGAAAGCACCUCUGAUGUAGUUAAAUGCAUUAUGUAUCCUACAGAUAAACUGACCAAACAAAUUGUGAGUCUCUAGACUCAGGAGAACUCCAAAUAGUGAACUAGCAAGUGAAUCCCUAACCCUUACAGCAGAUUUUCAUUCAGUGUUAGAUGUUUUGUUCUCCUGAGGGUAGAUGCAUAUUCCCCAGUCUGCUGAGGCCCUUUUGGAUGUAAUAAUAACCCAUGGAGAAUAACAGAAAUCACGAGAGUCCAUGAUUCUGUGGUUUUUAAUGAAUACAUGGAUUCUCACAGGAAACUGAUUUAGUUUGGCAAUAUAAUUUUUACAGGCCCAGGAUUUUGAUGAUGAUUAAGCAAUUUCGUCAAAAAAUUUCAAAUUGAAAAAAAAAAAUUUCAAAUUGAGUCACUCCUGCUUUGAAUUCUUACUUAUAAUUAGACAGUGGGUGAGGGGAGGAAGUAACAUUGUGUGCUGUGGGCCAGUGCUGCCCAGUAGUUUUCUGCCACAGUGGAAGUGCACUAUCUCAGCUGUCCAGGGAGGGAGCCAUGAACCAGCAGUGCCUGUUGAGCACCUGAAACACGGCUUGGGUGACUGAACUGAAUCUUGCAUUUUUUAGCUACCUCUACCUGUGGUUACUGUACUAGGUAGCACAGCUCAACAAUCAUGCAGGCUUAUGUAAUUAUUGUAGGAAUGAAGAAUAUCAGAAUUAGUCUUUUCUCAAUUGUAUAUAUUUGGAUUUUUUUCCUAUGAAAGAAGACAGUAAAGUAUUAUAAACAGUUGUUUGUGUACAUUUAUAGUUUUUUAAAGAAA